rnacentral:rRNA from 1 species
UACGAAGGGGGCUAGCGUUGUUCGGAAUCACUGGGCGUAAAGGGCGCGUAGGCGGCUGUUCAAGUCGGGGGUGAAAUCCCGUGGCUCAACCACGGAAUGGCCUUCGAUACUGGACGGCUGGAGACCGGAAGAGGUGAGUGGAACUGCGAGUGUAGAGGUGAAAUUCGUAGAUAUUCGCAAGAACACCAGUGGCGAAGGCGGCUCACUGGUCCGGUUCUGACGCUGAGGCGCGAAAGCGUGGGGAGCGAACAGG